rnacentral:rRNA from 1 species
GAUGAACGCUAGCGGGAGGCUUAACACAUGCAAGUUGAGGGGCAGCAUAGGGUAGCAAUACCCUGAUGGCGACCGGCAGACGGGUGAGUAACGCGUAUGUAACCUACCCUGUACAGGGGGAUAACCCGGAGAAAUUCGGACUAAUAUCCCAUAGUAAUAUCCGGAGGCAUCUUUGGAUAUUUAAAGUUCCGGCGGUACGGGAUGGGCAUGCGUAACAUUAGCUAGUUGGUAAGGUAACGGCCUACCAAGGCUAUGAUGUUUAGGGGUCCUGAGAGGGUGAUCCCCCACACUGGUACUGAGACACGGACCAGACUCCUACGGGAGGCAGCAGUGAGGAAUAUUGGUCAAUGGGCGCAAGCCUGAACCAGCCAUCCCGCGUGCAGGAAGACGGCCCUAUGGGUUGUAAACUGCUUUUCCAGGGAGAGAAACCUGCGCACGUGUUGCGCAAUUGACGGUACCCUGGGAAUAAGCAUCGGCUAACUCCGUGCCAGCAGCCGCGGUAAUACGGAGGAUGCAAGCGUUAUCCGGAUUCAUUGGGUUUAAAGGGUGCGUAGGCGGACUAUUAAGUCAGUGGUGAAAGCCUGCAGCUUAACUGCAGAACUGCCAUUGAUACUGAUAGUCUUGAGUUUGGUUAAGGUAGGCGGAAUGUGUAAUGUAGCGGUGAAAUGCUUAGAUAUUACACAGAACACCAAUUGCGUAGGCAGCUUACUGAGCCGACACUGACGCUGAGGCACGAAAGCGUGGGGAUCGAACAGGAUUAGAUACCCUGGUAGUCCACGCCGUAAACGAUGAUUACUCGCUGUUGGCGAUACACUGUCAGCGGCUAAGCAAAAGCAAUAAGUAAUCCACCUGGGGAGUACGGCCGCAAGGUUGAAACUCAAGGAAUUGACGGGGGCCCGCACAAGCGGAGGAACAUGUGGUUUAAUUCGAUGAUACGCGAGGAACCUUAC